UGGAUACUCUUCGUAUGUUAUUCCGGUGAACGCCCCGAGAAACACAGGUAUCCUUAAGAGGUCUGACAUUAUAACGAUGCGGCAUGCAAUUGUACUGAUGAUUACCAUCUGCGUCAUAACUUUGUUCAUGGGAAAUUCCCGAAACAUACAAGGCGAGAUUAACGGAGAUAACGGCGGUGGAAUGGAAGGUGUUUAUCGUGUAAAAAGGAAUAUCAUUGGCGAACCUCAAGAUGGAGAUGUAUUUGAACCUCCUGCAGACUCUGGUCCAAUAUAGGCGGUGGUGGUAGCGCCAGCGGAGGCCGGUAAUGGAAGACUCUCAAAGGAUUACAACAGGAAUCAAUAAAACCAUUCACACCCUAC